rnacentral:rRNA from 1 species
AUUGAACGCUGGCGGCAGGCCUAACACAUGCAAGUCGAGCGGAGCGGCGGACGGGUGAGUAAUGCCUAGGAAUCUGCCUGGGAGUGGGGGAUGACGUCCGGAAACGGGCGCUAAUACCGCAUACUAUCAGAUGAGCCUAGGUCGGAUUAGCUAGUUGGUGGGGUAAAGGCAUACCAAGGCGACGAUCCGUAACUGGUCUGAGAGGAUGAUCAGUCACACUGGAACUGAGACACGGUCCAGACUCCUACGGGAGGCAGCAGUGGGGAAUAUUGGACCAUGGGCGCAAGCCUGAUCCAGCCAUGCCGCGUGUGUGAAGAAGGUCUUCGGAUUGUAAAGCACUUUCAGUUGGGAGGCGUUACCAGCAGAAUAAGCACCGGCUAACUCCGUGCCAGCCGCCGCGGUAAUAC